rnacentral:rRNA from 1 species
GAUGAACGCUGGCGGCGUGCCUAAUACAUGCAAGUCGAACGGGGAGUAGCAAUACUCUUAGUGGCGAACGGGUGAGUAACGCGUUGGUACCUGCCCCGAAGCGGGGGAUAACGGACCGAAAGGUCCGCUAAUACCCCAUGUGCUCGGUAACGAGUAAAGGUGAAAACCACUUUGGGAGGGGCAUGCGUCCCAUCAGCUAGUUGGUAAGGUAACGGCUUACCAAGGCGGUGACGGGUAGGGGACCUGAGAGGGUGGCCCCCCACAAUGGAACUGAAACACGGUCCAUACACCUACGGGUGGCAGCAGUAGGGAAUAUUGGUAAUGGGCGCAAGCCUGAACCAGCAACGCCGCGUGUGCGAUGACGGCCUUCGGGUUGUAAAGCACCUUUGACUGGGACGAGGAAGGACGGUACCGGUCGAAUCAGCCUCGGCUAACUACGUG